UACGGAGGGGGCUAGCGUUGUCCGGAAUUACUGGGCGUAAAGGGCUCGUAGGCGGCCAACUAAGUCGGAUGUGAAAUCCCCAGGCUCAACCUGGGAACUGCAUCCGAUACUGGAUGGCUUGAAUUCGGGAGAGGGAUGCAGAAUUCCAGGUGUAGCGGUGAAAUGCGUAGAUAUCUGGAGGAAUACCGGUGGCGAAGGCGGCAUCCUGGACCGACAUUGACGCUGAGGAGCGAAAGCCAGGGGAGCAAACGGG
rnacentral:rRNA from 1 species